AGGAGCAAAUUUAUCACACAAGCGAUAGUGCACUGGUCCCAUCAGAACUCUGCAGUUAAGCAGGCUUGGGUGAGAGCAGCACUGGGAUGGGUGACCUCCCGGGAAAUUGUAGUGUUCACCUU
rnacentral:rRNA from 1 species